ensembl:lncRNA
CGGGCUUGCUCUGCUGGGGGCGAGAGGAGGGCGGGAGGGACUCCUUUCUUUCACAUGAAGCCCACGCCAGCUCUGAAGCCAAUUUCCGCCGCGGACUGUCCGGGGAGAGUUGGGCGACCAACAUUUUCGCGGACCGCAUUACUGCACCGGGCUUGGACUGGAAAUUGGAUGCGCCAGGGGGACCAGGGUCCGGGGCCAGAACGCCCCGAGGGGAACGCGCCUAAAAGACAGCUCGACUAGAGUGGGCUCGAGCCCCUUCCCAGACUGCUCCGGGGCGUCUGGAGACUGACCGGGGCGCAGGGGCGGGGGACACUUACUCCGUUAUCCGCACGCCUUUCUCGUUGGCAUCAGAGCCGGACAAACCCCAACCCGCGCCGGGCAAAGAUAAAUUACUCUUGGCUCCCCCAGCGGCUCGGGGGCCUGGGCGGGGGCGGAGCGGCGAGGAAGCCGUCGGGCCGCCUAAGGUAGGGGCGGUGGAGGUCCUGCUCCCGUCCUCAAGCGAACGAGCUCCUGCGGCCCGGACAGAGAGAUGCGUCUCGGGGAGACGACUGCUUGGGGAAGGGUGGUGCAACUAGUCGGCGUUAGAUGACUCGGGAGCUUAAUAGCUGGAUCUUCCCGUGCAGCAGCGCAGCGAGAGAAUGACUGCCCUGCUAAUCUAGUUUUUUAACAUAGAAAUCGACUUUAAACGACCGGGAGAACAAGGCGAAGGGGGAAAGGAAACGAAACGCCAAAGCAGCCACCGCCGCCUCCCCGCCCCUGCUGGAGGGGGGGUCGCGCUUCGGACCCGCCGCCUUUUCUAUCCGGAAACACCGCGCGAGGCGGAGUUGGUCGGUGCCAACUCCAAGCCCCGGGCCCAAGGUGGCGGCGAAGAACCCCGUGGCCUCGACUCGUCGUCACGGCCCCGUCACCCCUGAGCCCGGGUCACUGCCCGGGUCCCAAACCCGAGCCUCGGCGUCCUCUCCCGACAGCGCCACCGCGUGGGCUGCGGCCGAAACCUGCGCCGCCCGUUCAGUCGGCGGCUUCCGAGAACCGGCCCUUCCGCGUCGCCUCCAGUCUUCGGGUUAAAGAUGCUGCGGGGGAUGGGCAGGUGCCCAGCCUGGGGGACAAAGGGACCACCUAACACAAACACGCGCCCGGCAGGCAAAACAGAGGCGCCCUCCGUUUGUCCCAACCCCUCGUAAUGAAAAGCACACCUGGAAAGUCCAGGCCACGGCGCCCCACCUGCACCCAGACUCCAGGCAGGCCAGCCUGCGCCGUCCACUUCGCGCCACCCCUAGCAGGGCGAGCGAGCCCGGGAAGCCGGGGACGAGGUGGCCCAAGCCAGAGCGGUUCUGGGAGCGCUUCGCAGCUCUGGGCCGCCGCCGGUCUCGAACCGCGCCAGAGUGCGCGAGGACGCAUGCUGCGGGCCCAAGGUCCCGGUACCCGCUGGGACCGAAGACGAAGCGGGUGGCCGACUAUCCCGCAGUCCGAACCCGUCCGGAGUGGCGGGGAACCUAGAGGGCCUCCCGGGCCGGCGACUCGCCUGUUGUCUCGGUUUCGCGAAACCCCACGGACACCCUCUUAGUCUGUCAAAGCUUGACCCCCGGGCUAAGGCCCAGGCGGCUGUGACAGCGGCGUCUGGGGCUGGGCCCUUCCCCACCCCGCGCUGCCUUGCCUCCCGGCCCCGCGGCCAAGCCCGGCCCAGCCCCACAUCACCUCGCGCCGCCCGGAGCGAAGAGAGGACUAGAGAGCCCCACGUCGGGCUUAGAGGACUCCAGGGGGUAGGUAGGGGCUUACUGUAAAUAAACCCACUGGUCACACGCGCGCACACGUCCACACACAGUUCGGGACUGCCAGCUAUCGAAAGGGACAACGACCUAGAAAGGUGUCAAUUCACCUGGUGCCCACCCCAUUACGAAGCUCGCAGCCCCAACGAAACAGGAGCGAGCCCUGGACGCCCGAGCGCUCCCACGCGCGGCGCCCGGCGGCCCAGGCCCGGUGGCGCGGCGGCCGGUGGCUGUGCGGCGCUCGCCACGCGGGGCCUCUCCACCCACGCCCGCAUCGUGGGCUGCGACCUGUUCCCUUCCAGAUGCUCACACCCCUGGGCCACGCGGAGCUGUCUCCCGGCGUGCCGGGCCCGGCGCCCUGCCAGGCGGCUCACCUCGGCGGCCGCGCCUGCGGUUGCCCCCGGUGCCAAGCGGCCGGCCAGGGGCGGCGGGACAGAGCGCGGACGCUCCGCUCGCCUCCAGGAGCCUCCAGCCGUGCCCUCGGCGUCGCUCGGCCAGCCCUGGGCUGAUUUAAAUAACUAAUAAGCUCAGAGAAAUUUUACGAGGGGAACUUUUCCUUUUAGUAUCAAUAAAGCCUAGUAAUUGGGCUUGUUGGUUACCUAAGCUCGAGUUCCCAGUCUCUCUCGUUCCCUCUUCUCUCUCUCUCAUUCAGAGGCAACGUUUAAAAAAACCGGCAAAUGUGUGUGCGUUUGUGUGGGGAGUGUGAGUGUGAGUGUAUGAGAGAAGUUGUUUCAAAAGUCCUUCGCCUGGAGAACAGUCAUCAUUGUCGCUCUGCGGUGAAGAAUUUUGAAAGGUGAACUGUCGUUAUUUCAGAGGAUACAAAUGUUGACAAUUCAAGUCUCACAAUACAAGUAUAAUUCAAGACGAGGGGGAGUUCUAAAGAUUUUUCCCUUUGGAUGUGACAAAGGCAGUUGCAAUUCUUCCCUAAUAAUUUGCAUUUGAAUUAACUUUCACUACAUUUUGACUUCAACUCCUGGAUUGUAGUGCUAUCGGUUGUUUUCAGUAAAGACUUCUAUAUUAUAAUGCAUUCUAAAUUUUUGUUUUGCUUUUCUAAUUUUUUGAAAGCAUGUUCUUAGCAAUAAAGAAUUUUUUCCAUGUGGGAACCAUGCCUCAAUUUAAAAAUAUAAGACCUUCCAUGAAUAAUAACUGCCAAUAGUCAGUUCGGUAGUGUCCACAGUGCCAUUAGCGCCUAUACAAAAUCUCAGAAAUCUAAAGGCAACCUACGCAUGUUUCUCUCCAAUCAUAGCAAUAUAUAUUUUUUCAUUUC